AGAGUUUGAUCCUGGCUCAGAACGAACGCUGGCGGCGUGCCUAACACAUGCAAGUCGGAUGUGCCCGCAAGGGUGCAUGGCAGACGGGUGAGUAACGCGUAGGGAACCUACCUUUUUGUGGGGGAUAACGUUCCGAAAGGAAUGGUAAUACCGCAUGAGACCAUGGGCUGGGAUGUUCAUGGUGAAAGCCGGGGAUCGAAAGACCUGGCGCAAGAAGAGGGUCCUGCGUCUGAUUAGCUAGUUGGCGGGGUAACGGCUCACCAAGGCGACGAUCCGUAACUGGUCUGAGAGGAUGAUCAGUCACACUGGAACUGAGACACGGUCCAGACUCCUACGGGAGGCAGCAGUGGGGAAUAUUGGACAAUGGGCGAAAGCCUGAUCCAGCCAUGCCGCGUGUGUGAAGAAGGUCUUCGGAUUGUAAAGCACUUUAAGUUGGGAGGAAGGGUUGUAGAUUAAUACUCCGCAAUUUUGACGUUACCGACAGAAUAAGCACCGGCUAACUCUGUGCCAGCAGCCGCGGUAAUACGGAGGGUGCAAGCGUUGUUCGGAAUUAUUGGGCGUAAAGCGCGUGUAGGCGGUUUGUUAAGUCUGGUGUGAAAGCCCUGGGCUCAACCUGGGAAGUGCAUUGGAUACUGGCAAACUUGAGUACGGGAGAGGAUAGUGGAAUUUCGAGUGUAGGGGUGAAAUCCGUAGAUAUUCGAAGGAACACCGGUGGCGAAGGCGGCUAUCUGGACCGAUACUGACGCUGAGACGCGAAAGCGUGGGGAGCAAACAGGAUUAGAUACCCUGGUAGUCC
rnacentral:rRNA from 1 species